rnacentral:rRNA from 1 species
AGAGUUUGAUUCUGGCUCAGGAUGAACGCUAGCUACAGGCUUAACACAUGCAAGUCGAGGGGCAGCAUGAAGUUUGCUUGCAAACUUGAUGGCGACCGGCGCACGGGUGAGUAACGCGUAUCCAACCUUCCCCUUACUAGGGAAUAGCCCGGCGAAAGUCGGAUUAAUGCCCUAUGUUCUCCUUUGCGGGCAUCUAACGAGGAGCAAAGAUUCAUCGGUAAGGGAUGGGGAUGCGUCUGAUUAGCCAGUUGGCGGGUAACGGCCCACCAAGGCGACGAUCAGUAGGGGUUCUGAGAGGAAGGUCCCCCACAUUGGUACUGAGACACGGACCAAACUCCUACGGGAGGCAGCAGUGAGGAAUAUUGGUCAAUGGACGCGAGUCUGAACCAGCCAAGUAGCGUGCAAGGAUGACUGCCCUAUGGGUUGUAAACUGCUUUUAUGCGGGAAUAAAGUCAGGUACGUGUACCUGUUUGUAUGUACCGCAUGAAUAAGGACCGGCUAAUUCCGUGCCAGCAGCGGC